rnacentral:rRNA from 1 species
AGUGAACGCUGGCGGUGUGCUUAACACAUGCAAGUCGAACGAGAACGGACUAAAGUUUACUUUAGUUUGUCAGCUAAGUGGACGGCACGGGUGAGUAAUCGUAUAGCUAACCUACCCUAAAGAGGGGGAUAAUUAAUGGAAACGUUUUGUAAUACCCUAUACCUCUUAAUCUACACAAGUGUAUAAGAGAAAACUUUAGUGCUUUUAGGAUGGGGCUGUAUUGUAUCAGCUAGUUGUGGUGUAAUGGACCACCAAGGCUAUGACGCAUAACUGGUUUGAGAGGAUGAUCAGUCACACUGGAACUGAGACACGGGUCCAGACUCCUACGGGGAGGCAGCGAGUGGGGGAAUAUUAGCAAAAAUGGGGGAAAACCCCUGAUGCAGCAACACCGCGUGGAGGAAGACAC